rnacentral:rRNA from 1 species
UGAGUACGAGCUGCUACGGCAGCGAAGUGGGUGACGUCAAGCUUCCAAGAAAAGCCCUACACCCGUUAAGGCAUGAUGGCCUGUACCCGAAACCGACACAGGUGGGGUGGUAGAGAAUACCGAGGGGCGCGAGGUAACUCUCUCUAAGGAACUCGGCAAAAUGGCCCCGUAACUUCGGGAGAAGGGGUGCCACCGCAAGGUGGUCGCAGUGAAGAGGCCCAGGCGACUGUUUACCAAAAACACAGGUCUCCGCUAAGUCGCAAGACGAUGUAUGGGGGCUGACGCCUGCCCAGUGCCGGAAGGUUAAGGAAGCUGGUCAGCGCAAGCGAAGCUGGCGACUGAAGCCCCGGUGAACGGCGGCCGUAACUAUAACGGUCCUAAGGUAGCGAAAUUCCUUGUCGGGUAAGUUCCGACCCGCACGAAAGGCGUAACGAUCUGGGCGCUGUCUCGGAGAGAGGCUCGGCGAAAUAGAAUUGUCUGUGAAGAUGCGGACUACGUGCACCCGGACAGAAAGACCCUAUGAAGCUUUACUGUAGCUUGGUAUUGUGCCCGGGCUCUGAAUGCGCAGGAUAGGUGGGAGGCUUUGAUCCAUUGCUUGUGGGUGAUGGUGAGCCAACGGUGAGAUACCACUCUUUCAGAGCUAGGGUUCUAACGGUCACCCGUUAUCCGGGGACCGGACAGUAUCAGGUGGGCAGUUUGACUGGGGCGGUCGCCUCCUAAAAGGUAACGGAGGCGCGCAAAGGUUCCCUCAGGCUGGUUGGAAAUCAGCCGAUGAGUGUAAAGGCAGAAGGGAGCUUGACUGUGAGACCUACAAGUCGAACAGGGACGAAAGUCGGCCUUAGUGAUCCGACGGUUCUGAGUGGAAGGGCCGUCGCUCAACGGAUAAAAGUUACUCUAGGAUAACAGGCUGAUCUCCCCCAAGAGUUCACAUCGACGGGGAGGUUUUGGCACCUCGAUGUCGGCUCAUCGCAACCUGGGGCUGAAGUCGGUCCCAAGGGUUGGGCUGUUCGCCCAUUAAAGCGGUACGCGAGCUGGGUUCAGAACGUCGCGAGACAGUUCGGUCCAUAUCCGGUGCAUGCGCAGGAAUAUUGAGAGGAUUUCUCCCUAGUACGAGAGGACCGGGAGGAACGCACCUCUGGUGUACCAGUUAUCGUGCCAACGGUAAACGCUGGGUAGCCAUGUGCGGAGUGGAUAACCGCUGAAAGCAUCUAAGUGGGAAGCCCACCUCAAGAUGAGUAUUCCCAUGGCGUUAGCCAGUAAGGUCACGGGCAGAACACCCGUUGAUAGGCUCUACGUGGAAGCCGGGUAACCGGUGAAGCGGAGGAGUACUAAUAGACCGAGGGCUUGAC